CUUUUUGUAUUAAUGAAUCAUCAAGUGAAGUAAAAAGAAGCCAAAGAUGACUCUUAUAUAGAUUACAAAGGAAAGAAAACAAAAACUAAUAAAACUAACUUCAAACAGAAACUUGCUAAUAAUAAUAAACUAGCCUAUAACAGACAUAACAUAAAUUUGAAAAGUUUCUAAAAACAAAAAGUUUCUUAAUCUGAUAUAAGGAAGAAGAAAGGGAAUUAAUGUGGCUUUGUAUUGGGCUUGGAUUCGUCUAUAUCUUCAACAUGUUCCUAUCAGUUCCUCAGCCCAACCCCAAAACCUCAAUCACCUCCAAACCAUACUAAUUCUUAAUUUUUCAAACUUGUAUGAAACUGUGGUUCAAUGACUCUUUCGAGCGGGAGAACAAUUUCCAGUUACUCACCAGCCACAAAGUCAAAUCAGAAUCGAGUCCCUCACAAUUUCUAUCAUCACCGAAAACAGAUAAGCUUUGAAGUUAUCAUUCCACCCCAUGGAGUUUUUCUGAAAGUACCCUUUUGUGUUAAGGGGGUCAUCCUUGUUUUUAUGAAAUCUCCCAGCUCCACGAACCAUCUAUGAUGAAAACGAGAUAACGGUCCCAAAUUCGUGCUGUCACGUAGAAAACUUGGUCGGCUUGGCUUUCGUCUUCGAGAACUCAUCAUCGUUGCUGCUAGUGAUGGAGGACUCGUCGCUGCCACUAGAGAUGAAGAAAUCUCUGUCGCUGCCACUAGAGAUGAAGAAAUCUCUGUCGCCGCCUCUCUCUAGCGAACUCUGGCCACCGUCAUUGAAAGAGAAGGAGAUAGAGAAUUAGGGGUUUUCUUUCCCUCUUCAUUGCCCAUUUCGUGAAUUGUGGGGUUUACUCAUUUU
rnacentral:lncRNA from 1 species